UUACGGCCACAUCACGUUGUAACACUGGUUCCCGUACGAUAUCCGAAGGUAAUCAAAGUCGAUCCUGGUAAGUACCAAGAUGGGUGACUUCUUGGAAAUAUCAGCUUCUGU